AGGUGACUGUCCAUCCAGGUGACCAUCCAUCCAGGUGACCAUCCAUCCAGGUGACUAUCUAGCUGGGUGACCAUCUAUCCAGGUGAACAUCCAUCCAGGCGACUGUCUAGCUGGGUGACCAUCUAUCCAGGUGACCAUCCGUCCAGGUGACUGUCCAUCCAGGUGACCAUCCAUCCAGGUGACUAUCUAGCUGGGUGACCAUCUAUCCAGGUGACCAUCCAUCCAGGUGACCAUCCAUCCAGGUGACUAUCUAGCCGGGUGACCAUCUAUCCAGGUGACCAUCCAUCCAGGUGACCAUCUAUCC
rnacentral:lncRNA from 1 species